UAAUAAUUAAAAAGAUAUACAACCUGCCUGAUAGUAUUAUAGAUAUCAGGAGUUUGGGAGGAAAGGCGGGCAAAGAAGGGGCGUGUUUGUGUGUGCACAUGUACACAUACACAGGCAUGUGGGUACAUGAAUGCAUGUGUGUGUAUGUGAUUCCCAGGUGGAGAGGUGAACCUGUAUCAGUGGUUCAUAACCCCAGGUGCACAUUAAAUAAUAAUGAUGCCUAGGCAUCAUUUCCACAUACUCUGAUUUCAUUGGUCUGGAGCUGGGCCCAAACAUCAACAUUUUUUUUAAAAGUUCCCCAGGUGAUUCAGUGCAUAACCGAGCUGAGAAUCACUGACCUAGAAGAAAGUGGGUCAGAAAAGGUGCACGGGCGAAGCCUCAUUAGCUGGAGGAAGAGG